rnacentral:rRNA from 2 species
ACGGGUGAGUAACACGUGGGAACCUUCCUCGUAGUACGGAACAACUCAGGGAAACUUGAGCUAAUACCGUAUACGUCCGAGAGGAGAAAGAUUUAUCGCUAUGAGACGGGCCCGCGUCCGAUUAGCUAGUUGGUGGGGUAACGGCCUACCAAGGCUACGAUCGGUAGCUGAUCUGAGAGGAUGAUCAGCCACACUGGGACUGAGACACGGCCCAGACUCCUACGGGAGGCAGCAGUGGGGAAUCUUGGACAAUGGGCGAAAGCCUGAUCCAGCCAUGCCGCGUGAGUGAAGAAGGCCUUAGGGUUGUAAAGCUCUUUUGGCAGGGACGAUAAUGACGGUACCUGCAGAAUAAGCCCCGGCAAACUUCGUGCCAGCAGCCGCGGUAAUACGAAGGGGGCUAGCGUUGUUCGGAAUUACUGGGCGUAAAGCGCACGUAGGCGGGUUGUUAAGUCAGGGGUGAAAUCCUGGAGCUCAACUCCAGAACUGCCUUUGAUACUGGCAAUCUAGAGACUGGAAGAGGUUAGUGGAAUUCCCAGUGUAGAGGUGAAAUUCGUAGA